rnacentral:rRNA from 1 species
AUUGAACGCUGGCGGCAGGCCUAACACAUGCAAGUCGAGCGAGCGGCGGACGGGUGAGUAAUGCCUAGGAAACUGCCUGAUGGCGGGGGAUAACUACUGGAAACGGUAGCUAAUACCGCAUACCAUCGGAUUUACCCAGAUGGGAUUGGCUGGUAGGUGGGGUAAAGGCUCACCUAGGCGACGAUCCCUAGCUGGUCUGAGAGGAUGACCAGCAACACUGGAACUGAGAAACGGUCCAGACUCCUACGGUAGGCAGCAGUGGGGAAUAUUGCACAUUGUGCGAAAGCCUGAUGCAGCCAUGCCGCGUGUAUGAAGAAGGCCUUCGGGUUGUAAAGUACUUUCAGCGGGGAGGCGUUACCCGCAGAAGAAGCACCGGCUAACUCCGUGCCAGCCGCCGCGGUAAUAC